CGGCAUCUCCUCCUCUCUGAUAGGUUACUUUUCUGAUACCAGCGUAAGUACUAGUGAGUCCAUUUCGCUUCUUUCUGUGGCGAUACAACCAGAUGCUGAAGACCAUGAGGAUAAUCCAACAAGCAGCACCAAUUCCAGCAAUAAAGGCAGGCUGUUUUACUACGUCAGAGAUCUGCUGGGCUAAACUGACUUGAUCUUCUGAAGACACAGGAUUUCCAUGCGAAUCUAACUGGAUAAACUGGGGAUCACUUUUCACUCCAGGUCCUGCUCCAGUACUUGCUGCCACUUCCACGCUGUAUCGAAUACCUGGUACUAGGGAAGGGAUGACUACUGAAAAGGUGGAACCAUCUACUGUCCUGUUUAUAUGGUAUCGACUUUCAUUGCCAAGGCACCAAACCUUGUAUUCUUGAACCAUUCCGUUCUGGUUAUCCUCGGGGGGUGGCUGCCAGGUGACUACAAUUGCAGUUCCAUUCCCAUCAUUUUUAGUUACUGAAACACUCUGAGGUGGAGCACUGGGCGCUUCUUCUAGGGUUUUUGCAAAUUUCACUUCACUAUCUGCGCCUUGAAACUCAUUAAAAAAAGGGCGGGCCUUGAUUUCAUAGUUUACACCUUUCUUCAGCUCUGGAAUGAUAACACUGUUUUUGGUUGGAGUCCUCACUUCAAAAAUUAACCAUUCUGACUCUCCAUAGGACGCUGGUGUUGGCCGGUAUAGGAUUUUAUAUCCUUGAAUAUAUUGGGAUUGCUGGUCCACCUGGAAAAACAGCAGAAGAACACCCAUU
rnacentral:lncRNA from 1 species